rnacentral:rRNA from 1 species
UACGGAGGAUGCAAGCGUUAUCCGGAUUUAUUGGGUUUAAAGGGUGCGCAGGUUGUUUGAUAAGUCAGUGGUGAAAGUCUGUCGCUUAACGGUAGGAUUGCCAUUGAUACUGUUAGACUUGAAUAUGGGUGAGGUAGGCGGAAUGUGUAGUGUAGCGGUGAAAUGCAUAGAUAUUACACAGAACACCGAUUGCGAAGGCAGCUUACUAAUCCAUCAUUGACGAUGAGGCACGAAAGCGUGGGGAUCAAACAGGA